GUACUUACCUGGGAGGGGAUAUACCAUGAUCAUGAAGGUGGUUUUCCCAGGGUGCAGCUCAUGCAUUGCACUCCGGAUGUGCUGAGCCCUGCAAUUUCCCCAAAUGUGGGAAACUUGGCUGCAUGAUGGCUGCAUGGGAACUGUGUUUGAGCUUUCCCCUG